UGGGGAAUAUUGGACAAUGGGCGAAAGCCUGAUCCAGCCAUGCCGCGUGUGUGAAGAAGGUCUUCGGAUUGUAAAGCACUUUAAGUUGGGAGGAAGGGCAGUAAGCGAAUACCUUGCUGUUUUGACGUUACCGACAGAAUAAGCACCGGCUAACUCUGUGCCAGCAGCCGCGGUAAUACAGAGGGUGCAAGCGUUAAUCGGAAUUACUGGGCGUAAAGCGCGCGUAGGUGGUUCGUUAAGUUGAAUGUGAAAGCCCCGGGCUCAACCUGGGAACUGCAUCCAAAACGGGCGAGCUAGAGUAGGGCAGAGGGUGGUGGAAUUUCCUGUGUAGCAGUGAAAUGCGUAGAUAUAGGAAGGAACACCAGUGGCGAAGGCGACCACCUGGGCUCAUACUGACACUGAGGUGCGAAAGAGUGGGGAGCAAACAGG
rnacentral:rRNA from 1 species